rnacentral:rRNA from 1 species
CAGUCGAGCGAUGACGAGGAGCUUGCUCCUCUGAUUUAGCGGCGGACGGGUGUAGUAACACGUGGGUAACCUGCCUGUAAGACGGGGAUAACUUCGGGAAACCGAAGCUAAUACCGGAUAAUAAAGAGAGACUCCUGUUUCUUUUUUGAAAGUCGGUUUCGGCUGACGCUUACAGAUGGGCCCGCGGCGCAUUAGCUAGUUGGUGAGGUAACGGCUCACCAAGGCCACGAUGCGUAGCCGACCUGAGAGGGUGAUCGGCCACACUGGGACUGAGACACGGCCCAGACUCCUACGGGAGGCAGCAGUAGGGAAUCUUCGGCAAUGGACGAAAGUCUGACCGAGCAACGCCGCGUGAGCGAUGAAGGCCUUCGGGUCGUAAAGCUCUGUUGUCAGAGAAGAACAAGUACCGGAGUAACUGCCGGUACCUUGACGGUACCUGACCAGAAAGCCACGGCUAACUACGUGCCAGCAGCCGCGGUAAUACGUAGGUGGCAAGCGUUCUCCGUAAUUAUUGGGCGUAAAGCGCGCGCAGGCGGUUCCUUAAGUCUGAUGUGAAAGCCCACGGCUCAACCGUGGAGGGUCAUUGGAAACUGGGGAACUUGAGUGCAGGAGAGAAAAGUGGAAUUCCACGUGUAGCGGUGAAAUGCGUAGAGAUGUGGAGGAACACCAGUGGCGAAGGCGGCUUUUUGGCCUGUAACUG